UCGAGAAUCUUCCGCAAUGGGCGAAAGCCUGACGGAGCGACGCCGCGUGCAGGAUGAAGGGCUUCGGCCUGUAAACUGCUUUUGUCGGGGAGAAAGUUAUUGAUAGUACCCGAAGAAUAAGGGGUUGCUAAACUCGUGCCAGCAGCAGCGGUAAUACGAGUGCCCCAAGCGUUAUCCGGAAUCAUUGGGCGUAAAGGGUGUGUAGGUUGUCUUGUUAGUCUUCUGUUAAAUUCUUCGGCUCAACCGGGGGUCUUCAGAAGAAACGGCAAGACUAGAGGAUGUGAGAGGUGAAUGGAACUCAUGGUGUAGGGGUGAAAUCCGUUGAUAUCAUGGGGAACACCAAAAGCGAAGGCAAUUCACUGGCGCAUUCCUGACACUGAAACACGAAAGCGUGGGUAGCGAAUGGGAUUAGAUACCCCCGUAGUCC
rnacentral:rRNA from 1 species